rnacentral:rRNA from 1 species
GAUGGACCCGCGGUGCAUUAGCUAGUUGGUAAGGUAAUGGCUUACCAAGGCGACGAUGCAUAGCCGAGUUGAGAGACUGAUCGGCCACAUUGGGACUGAGACACGGCCCAAACUCCUACGGGAGGCAGCAGUAGGGAAUCUUCCACAAUGGGCGAAAGCCUGAUGGAGCAACGCCGCGUGAGUGAAGAAGGUUUUCGGAUCGUAAAGCUCUGUUGUUGGUGAAGAAGGAUAGAGGUAGUAACUGGCCCCUAUUUGACGGUAAUCAACCAGAAAGUCACGGCUAACUACGUGCCAGCAGCCGCGGUAAUACGUAGGUGGCAAGCGUUGUCCGGACUUAUUGGGCGUAAAGCGAGCGCAGGCGGAAAGAUAAGUCUGAUGUGAAAGCCCCCGGCUUAACCGAGGAAUUGCAUCGGAAACUGUGUUUCUUGAGUGCAGAAGAGGAGAGUGGAACUCCAUGUGUAGCGGUGGAAUGCGUAGAUAUAUGGAAGAACACCAGUGGCGAAGGCGGCUCUCUGGUCUGUAACUGACGCUGAGGCUCGAAAGCAUGGGUAGCGAACAGGAUUAGAUACCCUGGUAGUCCAUGCCGUAAACGAUGCGUGAUAAGUGUUGGGA